rnacentral:rRNA from 1 species
UACGGAGGGUGCAAGCGUUCUCCGGAUUCACUGGGUUUAAAGGGAGCGUAGGUGGCUUUGUAAGUCAGUGGUGAAAUAUUGCGGCUCAACCGCAAAACUGCCAUUGAUACUGCUUAGCUUGAAUCACAUCGAGGUGGAUGGAAUAAUACAUGUAGCGGUGAAAUGCUUAGAUAUGUAUUAGAACACCGAUUGCGAAGGCUGUUCACUAGGCGUGUAUUGACACUGAGGCUCGAAAGCGUGGGGAUCAAACAGG